rnacentral:lncRNA from 1 species
CCAGAAAAGAGCAAAAAAUAUCAGAAAGACCAGAAAUUAUCUUAGAAAUCCAGUACCAGGUAGCAACGGAAGGAUUUUAUUCACCAUUAGUCACCUCACAACUUUCCCUACGCUUACUAUCAAUCACCUACUCUAUCAGCUAUGUACAGAAUACUAUCAAUCACCUAGUUGAUCACCAUUUUCAGCCAAAGCCAUACCAUGGUUUCAGCUGCUCGAAAGGUAAGAUUUAGCCUAACCCCUUCACCAUUCCUUAAUGAGUUCAGCCUGCAAUUGUUUAAACAAAUUACGCGAAUUUUAUUUCAGCAUUUCUUGCUAGCAUAACAGCAACCAAGUAAGCAGGUAAUUCUCAUCAACACUCCUUAUUUUACUUGCUAAGUUUUGAUGUGCAUGAAAUCAGAAAAACUCCACGUAGCCUUUAACACCAAGUUUAGAUUGACAGACAUACAAUACCAAUGCUUAAUGACUUGCGAACCUGCUUGGAAGAUAUCUUCAAUAAUAUCCAAAUCGUAGUAAUGAGCAAGAAGAGUAGAAUGUGCGGCAAUAAGAUUUCUCAUUUAAACUAAUGAAUUUAUAACUAAAAUGUAGGUUAUAAAGUUUCCAUUGUUAAACCUAAACCCUAAGAAUUUGCUGAUUAUUAAUCGAUAGGUAAAUCUUUUCAAAUUUUCACAUUUCUAAAAUUUAGUACUAAUCAUAAUGAAAUAUAAUCUUUCCUAACAUAAUAAUUUUCCAUUGUUAAAUCUAAAUCCUAAAAAUUGGCAGAUUAUUGAUCGAUUGGUAAAUCUUUCCAAAAUUUCAUUAUUCUAAAAUUGAGCACUAAUCAUAGUAGUCAAUCUUUCCUAAUUGAAUACUUACCAUGGAGAGGCGCAGAUCGCUGGCGGCGACUUGGUGACAGGGCAGACGGAGACGACGGUGGCGGAUGGCGGUGGAGGGGAAACGGGAGUGGCGAUGUUAUCACCGAGACGUAUUGCAGCAGUGAUCGGAGCAGAUUUCGUUACCGAGCAGAUCUCUGGCAAAGACUUGGUGACGGGGCGGACGGCGGUGAAGGGGAAAGGGGAGCGGCGAGGUGGCAGAUCGGGGCUGAGCUUGGGGCGAAUCGCCGGAGGCGACAGCCAUGGCUGUCGUGGUCGCCGGAAAUCGCGAAGAGGCAGUGAGGAUUUGGAGAUCUAGGCUUUGUUUGGGAGAGAGGAGAGAGAUUAGGGACUGAGAGAUGGAGAUGGGGGUCGAGAGAGAAUCUGUGGCCAUGGCCGUGGCUCGCCGGCGGCACUUUCCCUGGAGUUUCAGGGGCGGCUUCGAUGGGGUGAGGAAGAGAGGCGUGAGGAAGAGAGGCGUGA